rnacentral:rRNA from 1 species
UACGUAGGGGGCAAGCGUUGUCCGGAUUUAUUGGGCGUAAAGAGCGUGUAGGCGGUUUGGUAGGUCCGCUGUGAAAACUCGAGGCUCAACCUCGAGACGCCGGUGGAAACCAUCAGGCUAGAGUCCGGAAGAGGAGAGUGGAAUUCCUGGUGUAGCGGUGAAAUGCGCAGAUAUCAGGAAGAACACCUGUGGUGUAGACAGCUUACUGGACCACUUCUGACGCUGAGACACGAAAGCGUGGGUAGCAAACAGG